rnacentral:rRNA from 1 species
AACGAACGCUGGCGGCAGGCUUAACACAUGCAAGUCGAACGCAUCCUUCGGGGUGAGUGGCAGACGGGUGAGUAACGCGUGGGAACGUGCCCUUCAGUUCGGGAUAACCCAGGGAAACUUGGGCUAAUACCGGAUACGUGCGAGAGCAGAAAGAUUUAUCGCUGAAGGAUCGGCCCGCGUCUGAUUAGCUAGUUGGUGGGGUACUGGCCCACCAAGGCGACGAUCAGUAGCUGGUCUGUGAGGAUGAUCAGCCACAUUGGGACUGAGACACGGCCCAAACUCCUACGGGAGGCAGCAGUGGGGAAUAUUGGACAAUGGGCGCAAGCCUGAUCCAGCCAUGCCGCGUGAGUGAUGAAGGCCUUAGGGUUGUAAAGCUCUUUCGUCCGGGACGAUAAUGACGGUACCGGAAGAAGAAGCCCCGGCUAACUUCGUGCCAGCCGCCGCCGUAAGAC